GAUGAAGAACGUAGCAAAAUGCGAUAAGUAAUGUGAAUUGCAGAAUUCAGUGAAUCAUCGAAUCUUUGAACGCACAUUGCGCCCGCCAGUAUUCUGGCGGGCAUGCCUGUUCGAGCGUCAUUUCAACCCUCAAGCACAGCUUGGUGUUGGGAUUCGUGAGGUAAACUCACGGUCCCCAAAUUGAUUGGCGGUCACGUCGAGCUUCCAUAGCGUAGUAAUUACACCUCGUUACUGGUAAUCGUCGCGGCCACGCCGUUAAACCCCAACUUCUGAAUGUUGACCUCGGAUCAGGUAGGAAUACCCGCUGAACUUAAGCAUAUCAAUAAGCGGAGGA
rnacentral:misc_RNA from 1 species